rnacentral:rRNA from 1 species
UACGUAGGGUGCGAGCGUUAAUCGGAAUUACUGGGCGUAAAGCGUGCGCAGGCGGUUUUGUAAGCCAGAUGUGAAAGCCCCGGGCUUAACCUGGGAAUGGCAUUUGGGACUGCAAGGCUUGAGUGCGGCAGAGGAGACUGGAAUUCCUGGUGUAGCAGUGAAAUGCGUAGAUAUCAGGAGGAACACCGAUGGCGAAGGCAGGUCUCUGGGCUGACACUGACGCUCAUGCACGAAAGCGUGGGGAGCAAACGGG